rnacentral:tmRNA from 1 species
GGGGCCGUACCGGUAUCGACCGGGCGAUUCCAGUCAUUGGUGGCGCGCCGUGGAGCAUACUGGCCACGUAAAAAGUAUGCAAAAAGACGUCUGCCAAUACGCAGUACGCACUCGCAGCCUAAUUAGGCUGCAUGGAUGACGCUUGACGCCCGAUGGAGUGUCAUCCAAAAAACAUCGGACUGGCGGAGAAACCCUGGCAUGCGGUUUCCCGCGACACUUUGUAUGCAUAGGGUCAUCCCAAGCGGUCAACAGCCGAAGGUGAUCCGAAAUCAAAGAGUUGACUACGCGCGUAGAGGCCCUUGUCAGGGCGUUUCGGCACAGGGGUUCAACUCCCCUCGGCUCCAUUA